UUCUCAAGCAGAAGACGGCAUACGAGGAAUAAUUGUCCUGAUUUAAGAAGGUGCGGAGUUUGCAGAGAAGAAGGUCAUACGAGGACCAAUUGUCCUGAUGUAAGAAGGUGCGGAAUUUGCAGAA